CUGAAUCAUUCAUUCCUUUUAAUCAGGAAGCACCUUGCUAUUAUUUUGGGGCAAUCUUAAUAGUUCAUCUAUCUAUAAUCGUUGCACACUAAGGUCUGUAGUUUUACAUACCACAUGAAUAUUUAUCCCAUGAACUGUUCGUCUGCAAUGCAGUUGAAGAUAUUUUAGGUUUUAUUUCUUAAGUAUGCCAAUUACUCCUCUAUUACGAGUGAUAAUUUGUUUGGGUCAGGUCUAGAGGUAUACAUAGGCUUCCCCAUAAUUUAUACAAUUUGGUAUUCCUUAAAUCACUUAUUACACAAUUUGGUAUUCCUUAAAUCACGCAUUAUAUGGCGAAAAUUCAUGGAUGUUUUCUUGUCUCGUGUUUUACUACGAGGGCCACUGCACGUGCUAAGAACUGUCAAAUAAGGUUUUAUUUUACUCUUGCGUGAAUGGAAUUAUUGGACAUUUAUACUUUUGUAACAUCUCAACUCUUUAUGAUUACCACAUGUGCAAUCCUCGCUGAGGACCUCCAAUCCUGAAAAGAUGAUCUUCUGGUUACCAUGAUUGAUACUUGAAUUCAUAAGUAUCCAGCUCAUACUAACUUUAUCUGCAGUAACCUAUUUUGGAUGUUGAUAAAGAUAUGAAAAUCUAUGUAGGUUGUCGAUCAUGAUUUUCUUGCAACAAGUUUACCAUUUCACACGUGCUCCGGCCGUGUUUCAUUGAAUGAAAGAUGAUAUAUUAUGGUGUUCCAAUAAUUCCUUGUAGAAGCUGGCACAAGAGAAGGCCCACUUUGUUAUAAUUCCUUGGAGAAACUGGCACAAGAGAAGAGAUAUGAUGGCCCACUUUGUUACUGCAUAAUGAAAUCAUCAAGGGAUGUGUGGAUACUUUGUGGAUACCGAGAGUGGUGGGUUCUUAGAAGUGCUCCCGACUCUUGCUCGAGGUGAACCUGGACAAAUACAUGAUUGAAGAGGUAAAGAUGGAAUUCAUUUCGUUUAUUCAUGUGAUGUUUCCAUAAUUUUUGUCCUUUUCGUCAUGUGCAUUAGAUUUUGUUGAAGCUGUUCACAUGUUCCCUUUCUAUACAACCAAAAAAGUUGUAAUAUGCCAUAACACUAUUACUCCUGAGGCUCGGUCGUAUCGACAUGAAUAUAGAAUUUCCGAAUCCUAACGCAGAUGUAAGUGAUGGUGUGCUCAUCAUGAUCAAAUUUAUACUCCCUCUCAUAUCAGUCCUAACCUUGAAUUAAAUUAUUCUUUGGUGCUCUUUUAGUGUUGUGGUGAUACUACUGAUACCUUGAUGUGUGGCAUUGAUCUGAAAAAUUCCAGGCCUGGUUACCAUUUUUAUCAUUCCGAAUAGUAAAUAUGAUCAAAUAGAACAUUUUAUGUUUUCUUAGUAUUGAAUUUAGCAACGCAUUUGGCUAAUAGCUCACGUUCUCUCCGAAACACUAAUGUUUCAAGUAUUGUGCAUCAGACCAUACUGAUAUGUAAUGUCUCCAGUGAGUUACUCACCUUCAUUUCCACCUGGUUUUCAGGAGGUCUGGAGAUAAGGGCGCAUGUCAACCUAGGAUAUAGGCAUAGCGGCACUCAUUUUAGCAUCCAGACAUCACUGUCCUGUCUCGUUUUAAGUUUUAUAGUGGCACAUCAUUAGAUAAGAAGAUGUGAAGGCCUGAUUACCUCAAGAACUAUAAUUUACAACAUCGUGCAACAGCCUUCAGUUGUUCUCUUGGUUCAAUUAUACUAUUACUUAUUUGGAGAACUGUGGAAGUCUUCAUGUUGGGACUUGGGAGCAUGUCAGCUCUUGAUUUAUGGUAGCAGAUGUAAAAUUUAAUAAGUUUUAGGCUUCUCUUAGAGUUUUCUAAUCUAUACACUCGGUACUUGCAGAUUUCUUUAAGGACAAGGUUGGAAUGUGUGUAUGAUUAAUUCAUCUGAUUUAUGAGCUACGGCGACACUUAUGUAGGCUGAUAAUUUUCCUUCUGUUAUGAUUUUUUAACCUGCAAUUGAACUUGGCAGUGUCUACAGAAGAUAGAUCAUGGAUAAAACUUCUUUCUGCUUUU